rnacentral:rRNA from 1 species
UGACUUGACCUCAAAUCAGGUAG